CGGAUCUCGAAAGCCNGUCCCAGUUCGGACUGGAGUCUGCAACCCGACUCCACGAAGUUGGAUUCGCUAGUAAUCGCGCAUCAGCCAUGGCGCGGUGAAUACGUUCCCGGGCCUUGUACACACCGCCCGUCAAGCCAUGGGAGCCGGGGGCGCCUGAAGUCCGGGACCGCGAGGACCGGCCUAGGGCGAAACUGGUAACUGGGGCUAAGUCGUAACAAGGUACC
rnacentral:rRNA from 1 species